rnacentral:sRNA from 1 species
GCCAGGCAUGGUGGCUCAUGCCUGUAAUCCUAGCACUUUGGGAGGCUGAGGUGGGUGGAUCACUUGAGCCCAGGACUUCGAGACCAGCCUGAGCAACAUAGUGAGACCCCAUCGCUACAGAAACUUAGCUGGGUGUGGUGGCAUGUGCCUGUGGUCCCAGCUACUCAGUAGGCUGAGGUGGGAGAAUUUCCUGAGCCCAGGAAGUUGAGGCUGCAGUGAGCCAUUAUCUCUUGCCACUGCAUUCCAGCCUGGGCAACAGAGAGAGCCCCUGCCUUA